GUGAUUUAUUGGUAAAAGAUAUUACGUUUUUCUCAUUCAUAUACAAUUAUUAGUAUUUUCUGUUUUUGUAAAAAAUAUAACAGUUCAUUAGAAUUGCAUAAGUUGUUUAUAUAGAAUAAAAUGCAAACUCUUUGUCAAGUUUUUCAUAGCUCACCACUGCAUGUAAUCCACAAACAGGAUAGGUCUACAAAUUACAUUAGUAGCAAAUAUGUGUUCUAUAACCAAACAUAGGGAAGAUUUUGCAAUGUUGAUUACAACUAAAACCAUAUUAUUUACAGAUGCUGCAAUAUAAAUUUUGCAAUCGUAUGCAUGGAAGACAAUUCUUCCACUAUCUAGUGGUGAAGCAUUUGUUGGAUAGGUACGUUUGUGUACUGGACAUGGAAAAUUGUCAUGCUGUUACUGAAUAGAAAUUAUAUUUACUUGAACAUUUUAUAUGCCAUUUCACUGAUAAAGGUACAUGGGUCCUUUUUUUCUACAGAAACACUGUAAAAGAAGAUGACUCAAUGUUGUUCAGAUGACCAUGAGAUCAUUGACCAUACACUCCGUAAUCUUUUGCUUUUGGAAUGUGCUUUAGACUAUAUUUAUAUGCUCCUAUUGCUAAUAAUAUCAAAACUCCAAGACUGCAUUAUAGCUCCUUUGAUGACCAUCAGCAGGGAAAUUUUACUAUGUUUGUGAAUAGAAUUGUGAUACCCGGUCGAUAUGUGUCCUGUACCAACAGGAACACACAAUGACCUUUAUGGUAUUAUGUCAAAUUUGAUGAACUUUUAUUUCAUUUCAUGUAGUAAUCAUUUUUUAUCUGUAAUAUGUUACAGAAUAAAACAUUUUAAAACUUACAAA
rnacentral:lncRNA from 1 species